GUGUCAGCAGCCGCGGUAAGACGUAGGGGGCGAGCGUUGUCCGGAUUUAUUGGGCGUAAAGCGUGCGUAGGCGGCUGCGCAAGUCGGUUGUGAAACCCCGGGGCUCAACCCCGGAACUGCAUCCGAUACUGCGUGGCUAGAGGUAGGUAGGGGAGAUCGGAAUUCCUGGUGUAGCGGUGAAAUGCGCAGAUAUCAGGAGGAACACCGGUGGCGAAGGCGGAUCUCUGGGCCUUACCUGACGCUCAGGCACGAAAGCUAGGGGAGCGAACAGGAUUAGAUACCCCCGUAGUCC
rnacentral:rRNA from 1 species